rnacentral:rRNA from 1 species
GACGAACGCUGGCGGCGUGCUUAACACAUGCAAGUCGAACGAAGUGGCGAACGGGUGAGUAACGCGUAAUCAACCUGCCCUUCAGGGGGGGACACCAGUUGGAAACGACUGCUAAUCCCCCAUACGGAAGGAGGGGAUUGCGUCGGAUUUGCUGGGUGGAGGGGUAACGGCCCACCAAGGCGAUGAUCAGUAGCCGGGCUGAGAGGGUGAACGGCCACAUUGGGACUGGGAAAAGGCCCAGACUCCCUCGGGGGGCAGCAGUGGGGAAUCGUCCGAAAUGGACGAAAGGCUGGCGGAGCAACGGCGCGGGAGUGAUGACGGCCUUCGGGUUGGAAAGCUCUGUUAAUCGGGACGCGGUACCGGAAGAGAAAGCCACGGCUAACUACGUGCCAGCAGCCGCGGUAAUUC